rnacentral:rRNA from 1 species
GAUGAACGCUAGCGGCAGGCCUAAUACAUGCAAGUCGAGGGGCAGCAGGGAUAGCAAUAUUCGCUGGCGACCGGCGCACGGGUGCGUAACACGUAUACAAUCUGCCUUUAACUGGGGGAUAGCCCGGAGAAAUCCGGAUUAAUACCCCAUAAUAAUUUGACUGGCAUCAGUUAGAUUUGAAAGCUCCGGCGGUUAGAGAUGAGUAUGCGACUGAUUAGCUAGUUGGUGAGGUAACGGCUCACCAAGGCAACGAUCAGUAGGGGAUCUGAGAGGA